rnacentral:rRNA from 1 species
CUUUCUCCGCCGGCGACCGGCGCACGGGUGAGUAACACGUAUGCAACCUGCCCCUGUCAGGGGGACAACCCGCCGAAAGGCGGGCUAAACCCGCGUACAUGCCACCGGGGCAUCCCGGAGGCAGGAAAGGCUUCGGCCGGACAGGGAUGGGCAUGCGGCGCAUUAGGCAGUAGGUGGGGUAACGGCCCACCUAACCGACGAUGCGUAGGGGUUCUGAGAGGAAGGUCCCCCACACUGGUACUGAGACACGGACCAGACUCCUACGGGAGGCAGCAG